rnacentral:misc_RNA from 1 species
GUGAAUCAUCGAAUUUUUGAACGCAAAUUGCACUCUCCGGUUUUCCGGGAGAGUAUGCCUGUUUGAGGGUCAUCCUAAAAAAAUCGACCAUUUUGCUGGUUUAGUGUUACUUUUGUCGGAGAUGGGUUAUCUUAAAUCGCGGUUUUAGCAACUUAAAAAUUUUUUUUACAGUUUUUAUAAUGGUUCUAAGAUUUUUCUUGUUCGUUUAAAGUAUC